AGAGUUUGAUCCUGGCUCAGAAUCAACGCUGGCGGCGUGCCUAACACAUGCAAGUCGAACGAGAAAGUGGAGCAAUCCAUGAGUAAAGUGGCGACCGGGUGAGUAACACGUGACUACCUACCCUUGAGUGGGGAAUACCCCUGGGAAACCGGGGAUAAUACCGCAUAAGCUCGUGAGAGGAAAGCAGCAAUGCGCUGAAAGAGGAGUCCGCGGCUGAUUAGCUAGUUGGCGGGGUAACGGCCCACCAAGGCGAAGAUCGGUAGCCGGCCUGAGAGGGCACACGGCCACACUGGCACUGAAACACGGGCCAGACUCCUACGGGAGGCAGCAGUGGGGAAUCUUGCACAAUGGAGGAAACUCUGAUGCAGCGACGCCGCGUGAGCGAUGAAGCCCUUCGGGGUGUAAAGCUCUUUCGACGGGAACGAUAAUGACGGUAC
rnacentral:rRNA from 1 species